rnacentral:lncRNA from 1 species
CUUCGACACACAUAAUCUUCACUCUCUCAAACAACCACCACUACACAAAUGCACAGCCGUGAAGCUCGAUUCGUCCUCCAUCAUUCAUGUUAACACAUUAGAAAAUAUAAACCUCCGCCUCUAACUCUCCCUCAACACCGUACAAACACCAAUACUUCCCAUCUUCCACUUUGCUCCACCGCUGCAACUUCAUACUAAGCAAGUUGUGAAUCACCAAACAACCGCAUGCAUUUUCU